rnacentral:rRNA from 1 species
UACGGAGGAUCCGAGCGUUAUCCGGAUUUAUUGGGUUUAAAGGGUGCGUAGGUGGCCUGUUAAGUCAGGGGUGAAAGACGGUAGCUCAACUAUCGCAGUGCCCUUGAUACUGAUGGGCUUGAAUACACUAGAGGUAGGCGGAAUGUGACAAGUAGCGGUGAAAUGCAUAGAUAUGUCACAGAACACCGAUUGCGAAGGCAGCUUACUAUGGUGUGAUUGACGCUGAGGCACGAAAGCGUGGGGAUCAAACAGG